UACGUAGGGGGCAAGCGUUGUCCGGAAUCAUUGGGCGUAAAGCGCGUGUAGGCGGCCCGGUAAGUCCGCUGUGAAAGUCGGGGGCUCAACCCUCGAAUGCCGGUGGAUACUGUCGGGCUAGAGUACGGAAGAGGCGAGUGGAAUUCCUGGUGUAGCGGUGAAAUGCGCAGAUAUCAGGAGGAACACCAAUUGCGAAGGCAGCUCGCUGGGACGUUACUGACGCUGAGACGCGAAAGCGUGGGAGCAAACAGG
rnacentral:rRNA from 1 species